rnacentral:misc_RNA from 1 species
GGAAGGAUCAUUAACACGUAUCCAACGUUAAACCCCCCGUGCACCUUCAUUGUAAUUCUGCGUUAACACGAAUUGCCUGGCGGAAUAACGAAUCGCGAUCACAACUUCACACGAGGUGCUGAAGAUGGACCUGGGAGAUCUUGAGAAGCGCGUUACAAAACUGCUGUUUGGAACGGAAGGGUCCUGAAGCUAGGCGCGUUUCCAUGUGUCUUCGGGAAAGUCGGUAACUCUGAAGAGGUAUUCAACAAGACCACACCUUGGGUAACACCGGGGUCCGCCUUAAAACACCGCAUGGGAACAACAAGGUCCCUUGGCUUGGCGAGGUGUCUUCACGAAAAUCUUUUUGGCGUAGAGCUAUGGGUGCCCUGGCAGGCGCAACCGAAGGAACCUAAGGGAUGGGGACUACCGAGAGUGCACUUUAGCGGGUGUGUUUUUGGCGGACCUUGAUUUCUUGACUUCGCGCCUCGUAUCCAGGUUGCCGUAGACUUCACCUUUUGUGGUUGUUAGAGCACGAAUUGUUUACUCGCAAGGUUUCGGGUUGGCGCAUCCCCGCGUGUCUGGCCCACCGCGGAACAACCUCACUAGACCGACACCGAAGCGCCGGAUCCUAGCGGGUUCAGGCAUCGGAAACCCCGAACAACUGUUAGCAAUGGAUAUCUUGGCUCUCGCAACGAUGAAGAACGCAGCGAAAUGCGAUACGUAAUGCGAAUUGCAGAAUUCAGUGAAUCAUCGAAUCUUUGAACGCAAAUUGCGCUCUCGGGAUACCCCUGAGAGCACACCUCGCUGACUAUCGGUUUCAAACACCUAACCUCACCUUGUGUGUUGGUAAAACAGUUGAGCGUUAUGCUGUGCAUCCCCCGCCGGGGACAUGGCUUAUCGCUUUAAAACCAUUCAUUCAGCUCAUUGAAUGACUUCUUGCAAGUUGGGUUCACUUCGGUGAAGAAGAUUUACAAGGGGUCAUUUCGACGGCGAGCAAACAUCGCGGAAAGGGCAAUCAUAAUGAAAGCAGCAGUUUGACUAGAGAAAGCUGAGGAUCACUUUCGGGUGGUCUUUGGGGAAAGCUGAGGAUCAUCUUUCGAGGUGGUCUUUGGGGAAAGCUGAGGAUUGCCUUCGGGUGGUUCUUGGGGACUUCUGGGGACUGCCUUCGCGGGUGGACCUUGGCGGACUCUGAGGAUUGCCUUGGGCUGAGGAUUGCCUUGGGGUGGACUUUGGGGAAAGCUGAGGAUUGCCUUGGGGUGGUUCUUGGGGACUUCUGGGGACUGCCUUCACGGGUGGACCUUGGCGGACUCUGAGGAUUGCCUUGGGGUGGACUUUGGUUGACUCUGAGGAUUGCCUUAAUUGGUGGACCUUGGUGGACUCUGAGGAAUGCCUUCGGGUGGACCUUGGUGGACUCUGGACGAAUAGCAGUGGACGUUGUGGUUUGUGCUUCUGUGACGUGAUUUGAACGGGGAGUUGGGCGGGAAUAACGCGCGGAACGGCGACCAGGUGUCUCACACGCACCUAGUAUUGUGGUUCUGUACGGGUCUCGUCGGGACGCUCCGAUUGAAUCAGCUCGAAGUUGACCUUGACGCUUCGAGUGCUGGAGUAGACAACAAGCCCGUGGGUUCGCUGGAGAAGAGGAGAAAGGGAAAUGUAACAAGUUUUCCUUUUUCUUUUUUUUUGGCUUGCUCACACCCCCUUUCUGAAUCAGAUGUCAGCUGAAGUGAGAAUACCCCCUGAAUUUAAGCAUAUUACUAAGGGGAGGAAAAGAAACUAACAAGGAUUCCCCUAGUAACGGCGAGUGAAGCGGGAAGAGCUCAAACUUGAAAUCCGUGGGUGUAACAACUCAUGGAGAUGUAGUCUGGAGACGCUCUCUCAGUGCGAGGCCGGCUAUAAGUCCCUUGGAAUGGGGCAUCAUAGAGGGUGAGAAUCCCGUUUAUGAGCUGGAUCUCUGUGCGUACGAGGAGCGUUCCGAGAGUCGCGUUGCUUGGGAGUGCAGCGCAAAUUGGGUGGUAAAGUUCAUCUAAAGCUAAAUACCGGCGAGAGACCGAUAGCGAACAAGUACCGUGAGGGAAAGAUGAAAAGAACUUUGAAAAGAGAGUUAAAUAGUACUUGAAAUUGUUAACAGGUAAGGGCAGGAAACCAGUAAUUCUUGGGCUUACUUGCGGUCGCUUCACGGCAGCCGUUACUUAGGCUCGGGAGAGUCAUCAUCAGUUAGAAUCGUUGGAGAAAGCGCGGAUGGUGGUGCUUCGGCUCUGUCGCGGCACACCGCUGCGUCCUACAUUGGUUCUGACUGAGGAACGAAAACCCGCACGCUUCGGCGUACGGCACGCUGUGGCCUGUUUGCCCUAGCGCGUGAGAGACCAAAGGUCUGUCUGUGCAAAAGGUGAAUACUGCUGCGGAUGUGUCAGUUGCUGGGUUCGCGAUGAUGACGAAAUGGUUUUCUUCCACCCGUCUUGAAACACGGACCAAGGAGUCUAACAUCUAUGCGAGUAUUUGGGUGGCAAACCCUGAUGCGCAAUGAAAGUAAAGCGGUCCUUGUGGCCGUGAGGUAGGAAUCUUACCUUCGGGUGGGAGGCACUAUCGACCGAUCGUUCGCUUGCGAAAGAUUUGAGUAAGAGCAUAGCUGUUGGGACCCGAAAGAUGGUGAUCUAUGCCUGAACAGGGUGAAGCCAGGGGAAACUCUGGUGGAAGCUCGUAGCGAUACUGACGUGCAAAUCGUUCGUCUGAUUUGGGUAUAGGGGCGAAAGACUAAUCGAACCAUCUAGUAGCUGGUUCCCUC